AUAUUUAAAAAAUAUUUUUAGUGUGCAGCAGUAUAUGAACGAAAACGGACAACUCAGUUUCAUAAAAUGAGCUUCCCCUGAAUCACUAGCCUGGCUCAGCACAAGAACUCUGCAGGAGGCUUAGAAGCCCCCUCCUGCCCUUCCCCAGUCACUUUCCCACAAAGUAAACCACAUUUUCUGGUGGAUGGUAAUCACUUCUUGCAUUUUUUAAAACCUUUUUACCACCUAAGCACACUCCCUUAAACAUUACAGUUUUGCCUGUUUUUUUGUUUUGAGUGUUAGAUGGACUCUGACCGAACGUACUCCUUUCUGUCUGGUUCCUUUUCAUCUAAACUUCUGUUUGUGGGGUUUAUCCCUGUUGUGCCCUGUAAGUCUGGGGAAAGAAAAUCCGGGGACAAAAUACGUCUAAAAACCGAAAUCAGUCAAAGGGAGAAAUAAAGUUUGAAACCCGUUUAUUGCUUACAAAACUGCAGUUCAACCCCUCUCUGUCCAGCUCCAGUAGCAGCAAAACCGGCCCUCCCCUCACCUUUCAGGUACAGAUAAGCCCUCCUGGCCCAGGUAAUACCCAUUGAUACGGAGAUGAACUUCUCCACUCCUGAGGAAUGAUGCAAAUGCACUAACGCCCUAUCUCUUUCCACCUCUGAAUGCCUAGUGACAUGCAGAUGAACUAAAGCCAGGCGAGAUAUUCUGGAAAUGUUACAAUUUUAUCCACAGUCCCCCUCGGGCUGGUUCAUUUUCACAUGGAAGUGUAGGUAGCCCAGGCGAUCACAGAAGAUCUGAGCAGGUUAGCUCUUCAAAAAUCCUGACAAGAAUGGAAAAAAGUGCCAUUGGGAGGGAAAUAGCUAUUUUCCACCCUGCCCCACCACACACGCACACACUCUAAGCUUUCUCGGUUGCUAAGCCUCAGAUUUGUUUUCAUCUUUUCAGAUGAGGUGGAAGGGAAUGUUUUGGAUGUGGAAAUUUUGUUGAAGGAAGUAAAUAGGACAGUCAACUCAGGAGAGUUGUAGGAGCUAUUCGCAGAAGCCACGUCAGGCCCAUAUCUGUGGGGUCUGGUGGGGAACAAGGAAAUGCUCAGGGAGGGAGAGGGAAAGAUUCAGGAGUUCAGGGAACAAGCUCUGGAUCCUGAUUGUAGAGGAGCUAACCUGAGGAGUUGGUUAGAAAGUCAAGAACUGUGGGCUGAUUUCCUCUUCACCAAGGCCAGUGUACCUGCCUCAGGACCAGUGCUGGGCUCUGUGGGUGGGCAGCUUGUGCAGUUACAGGACCUCAGGCUGAGAAGAGCCUCACACUUGCCCUAAUGCCCUGCUCUCGCUGCCUUGAAAUUUGGAAUAAUUCUGAACAUUUUGCACUUGACCUGGAAAAUUAUGUGGCUGGUCCUGAUCAGAUCUCAAGGCAACCCCAAUCAAUACUUGGAAGGCCAGCACUGUAGCCCCACUGGUGAGUGGCUGAGAAUCAUCCAAGUGAGCUGAGAAUUAUCUGAGACUUGAGGGCAGCCCCCUUGGAAAACAAGAAAACAUUUUGGUGGUUCCCCAAAAUGUUAGAGUUACCAUAUGACCCAUGUAAAAUUGUCUCUUGUGGCUACUUUAAACAUACAGAACAUAAAUACUGGAAACAUUACAGAGAAUGGAAUUUUGGAAAACAUGUCUCAUCUUAGCCAAAUUGGGUCAAGUUUUUUUCUGACUGUGGCAUGUUAUGUAUCUUAACAUGUUCAGAGAAGUUGCUUCUUCCUCCACAGUGGAUUUAAUUAUAAUAUCAAUGUAAUGGACAAGUGUGACAUCCUGUGGGUGGAGAGGUAAUCAGAGUAACUGAACCAGCUUGUGACUAGGGUUGUAGAGUUGAUGUGGCCCUGAGGUAGGGCAGUGAAGAUGUAUCCGGCUAAAAGCAAACUGCUUUUGAUGGUCUUUACUAACAGGUACAGACAAAAAAAAAGCAUCACCAGAUUAGUAACUGCAAAUCAGGUACCAGAUAAUGUUGAUUUGCUCAGCAUCACAGCCACAUGUGGAAAUAGCAGCUGCACUUGGAGUCGCAACCUGAUUAACCUGAUGAUAACCCACUGUCAUUCUCUAAGGCCGUCUGUAUUCCACACACACCACACAGAUUACCACUUUAUUAUAAAAGGAUAUAGCCCAGCAGCAGCCAGAUGGAAGAAAUGCCCAGGGGCAGCUAUGGGGAAGGGGCGCAG